rnacentral:rRNA from 1 species
AACUCGGAGGAAGGUGGGGACGACGUCAAGUCAUCAUGCCCCUUACGUCCAGGGCUGCACACAUGCUACAAUGGCCGGUACAACGGGCUGCUAUCCCGCGAGGGGGAGCCAAUCCCAAAAGCCGGUCUCAGUUCGGAUCGCAGUCUGCAACUCGACUGCGUGAAGUCGGAGUCGCUAGUAAUCCCGGAUUAGCAUCGCCGGGGUGAAUACGUUCCCGGGCCUUGUACACCCCGCCCGUCACACCACGAAAGUCGGCAACACCCGAAGCCGGUGGCCCAACCCUUGUGGAGGGAGCCGUCGAAGGUGGGGUC